UUGGGACUUUCUCCUCACUUGCCACCUCCAGGGGAUGAACAUUCAAGGUAUUCCAUCUAGGAGAGAUCUUGGAUAUGGUACAAGGGAGUUCUUGGUG